AACGAACGCUGGCGGCAGGCCUAACACAUGCAAGUCGAACGAACCCUUCGGGGUGAGUGGCGCACGGGUGCGUAACACGUGGGAAUAUACACAUAGGUAAGGAAUAACUCAGGGAAACUUGCGCUAAUACCUUAUAAUAACUCCGGUUCAAAGAUUUAUCGCCUAUGGAUUAGCCCGCGCUAGAUUAGUUUGUUGGUGAGGUAAGAGCUCACCAAGACUACGAUCUAUAGCUGGUCUUAGAGGAUGAUCAGCCACACUGGAACUGAGACACGGUCCAGACUCCUACGGGAGGCAGCAGUGAGGAAUAUUGCGCAAUGGAGGAAACUCUGACGCAGCCAUGCCGCGUGUGUGAAGAAGGCCUGAGGGUUGUAAAGCAUUUUCAAUCGUGAAGAAAGUUGCAGGCUAAUACCCUGUGACCUUGACGUUAACGAUACAAGAAGCACCGGCUAACUCCGUGCCAGCAGCCGCGGU
rnacentral:rRNA from 1 species